rnacentral:rRNA from 1 species
GACGAACGCUGGCGGCAUGCCUAAUACAUGCAAGUCGAGCGAACAGAUGAAGUGCUUGCACUUCUGACGUUAGCGGCGAACGGGUGAGUAACACGUAAGGAAUCUACCUAUAAGCGGGGGAUAACAUUCGGAAACGGGUGCUAAUACCGCAUAAUAUCUUCUUCCGCAUGGAAGAAGAUUGAAAGACGGCUCUGCUGUCACUUAUAGAUGACCUUGCGGUGCAUUAGUUAGUUGGUGGGGUAACGGCGUACCAAGACGAUGAUGCAUAGCCGACCGAGGAGGGUGAUCGGCCACAUUGGGACUGAGACACGGCCCAAACCCCUACGGGAGGCAGCAGUAGGGAAUCUUCCGCAAUGGGCGAAAGCCUGACGGAUCAAUGCCGCGUGAGUGAAGAAGGCCUUCGGGUCGUAAAACUCUGUUAUAAGAGAAGAACAAAUUGUAGAGUAACUGCUACAGUCUUGACGGUAUCUUAUCAGAAAGCCACGGCUAACUACGUGCCAGCCGCCGCCGUAA